CGAAGUGGCACAGCGGGAGCGCGCUAGGCUCAUAACCUAGAGGUCGAUGGAUCGAAACCAUCCUUCGC
rnacentral:tRNA from 1 species